rnacentral:rRNA from 1 species
ACAUUGGCGCAGAGAGGGACAGUGCACGCUCAGCCACGCUGGAGGCGUGGGGCUGGGGCAAGCCCUCGACAGCCCCGGGCCCGCCACCUGAGCUUCGGGUACCCGACUACGACCUCAGAUCAGUCGUGAUGACCCGCUCAAUUUAAGCAUAUUACUAAGCAGAGGAAACUAAACUAACCAGGAUUCUCUCAGUAACUGCUAGUGAAGAGGGAAGAGCCCAGCGCUGAAUCCCCAUCCAGCGGCAGGUGCAGGAAAUGUGGUGUACAGAAGACCAACUCCCCAGAGUCGCUCGGUUGGCCCAAGUCCUUCUGUUCAAGGCUCUGCCCGCGGAUGGUUGUUAGGCUGCUAGGGCCCUUGGUGUGCCGGGAUCGGGUCUUCCUGGAGUAUUUUUGCUUGGGAAUGCAUCCCAAAGCCAGUGGUAAACUCCACCUAAGGCUAAACACGGGCGCGAGACUGAUAGCCAAGUACCGUAAGGGAAUGUUGAAAAGAACUUUGAAGAGAGAGUUAAAGAGUGUGUGAAACAGGUGAGCGGUAAACAGGUGGGGUCCGUGCAGUCCACCUUUAGGACUCAACACGGCGGGCUGGUUGGUCACCCGGAACGGUGGAUGCCCUCGUGAGACCUCUGCAUGCAGGCACCGACCCCUUCAGGGCGCAUUUCCUCUGUGGCGGUGAACCGUGACCGUCUCUGGCCAGCUGAGAAGACCCCAAGGCGUAGGUGGCUCUCCACUCUAGCAGAGAGUGUUAAAGCCCCCUGGCAGCUGUUUUGCUUUGCCCGCAGGGCCAAGGCAGAUUGACUGCCACUGUGCCCUCCUCCAGCAACCGUCCCGGCCCCUCUUGGGAGUCGCUGGAGCAGCAUCUGGGGACGGGCCCCCUGCCACCCAUGGGACUGUCGACUGGGGUGGACUGUCCUCAGUGGGACAGGCUCACGAAGGCACGAGGGUCUGCAGUGGUAAUCAGUUACUGACCCGCCUUGAAACACGUACCAAGGUAUCUAAUACGAGUGCCGAAUGAUAACUGUGGCGCAAUGAAGAUGAGGUGGGAUCCCGUUGCAGUGAGCGCACCACCGACCCAUCUCUCCCGCUCUGUCAGGGAGGUGGAGCUUGAGUGUGUGUGAUAGGACCUGAAAGAUGGUGAACUAUGCUAGAGCAAACUCUGGUGGAGGUCUGUGCAGUCCUGACAGGCAAAUUGGUCAUUCAACCUCGGUAUAAGGGCAUAGCCGUCCAAAGUUUCCUGCUUGACAACCCCAGUUUUAUCUGGUAAAGCAAAUGAUUAGAAGUCUUGGGGCUGAAACUAUCUCAAACUAUUCUCAAGCUUAAAAUGGGUAAGAAGCCCAUGGACACGAGCCGGACCCUUCCUGUGGAUCGCCUAGCUGCAGUGGUUGGCAUUCUGUCUCAGCCGACGCCUAGCAGCUGACUGAGAACUUGUGUGUACCAGGGGAAUUUGACUGCUUAAUUAAAACAAAGCAUUGCAAAGGCCUGCAGCGUAUGUUGACGUGAUUGUAUUUCUGCCCGGUGCUCUGAAUGUCAAAAUGAAGAAAUUCAAUGAAGCACGGGCAACGGCGGCAGUGACUAUGACUCUCUUAAGGUAGUCAAAUGCCUUGUCAUCUAAUUAGUCACGCGCAUGAAGGAUGAACAAGAUUUCCACUGUUCCUACCUACUAUCUAACAAAACCACAGCCAAGGGAACAGGCUUGGCAGAAUCAGUGGUCAAAGAAGACACUGUGCUUGACUCUAGUCUGGCACUGUGAAGAGACAUGAGAGGUGUAAGAGAAGUGGAAGGCCCUCAGGCCCCCGGUGAAAUACCACUACUCUUGUUUUUUCACUUACCUGGUAAGGCGUGGGUUGGGGGUACGAGCCCUGCGGGCCCCUCGCUUCUGGCUCCAAGCACCUGGCACCCACCGGGUGUAAUCCACUUCAGGGACAGUAGCAGAUAGCGAAUUUGACUGGGGCUGUCCACCUGUCAAACGAUAAAACAGGUGUCAUAAGGUGAGCUCAGAGAAGACAGAAACCUCCCGCGGAGCAGAAGGGCAAAAGCUUGCUUGAUCUCGAUUUUCAGUCUGAAUAUAGACCGUGAAAGUGGGGCCUCCCUAUCCUUCAGACUUUUUUGGUUUCAAGCAGGAGGUAUCAGAAAAGUUACCACAAGGAUAACAGGCUUGUGACGGCCAAGCGUUCAUAGGGAUGUCGCAUUUUGAUCUUUUGAUGUCGGCUCUUCCUAUCAUUGUGAAGCAGAAUUCACCAAGCGUUGGAUUGUUCACCAAUAAUGAGGGACCUGAGUUGGGUUUAGACCAUCGUGAGACAGGUUAGUUUUACCCUACUGAUGAUGUGUUGUUGCAAUAGUAAUCCUGCUCAGUACGAGAGGAACUGCAGCUUCAGACAUUUAGUGUAUGUGUUUGGCUUAGGAGCCAAUGGGACAAAGCUACCAUCUGUGGAUUAUGACUUUACGCCUCUAAGUGAGAAUCCCCCCUAAAUCGUAACGAUAGUGCAGCGCUGUGGAGCCUCAGUUGGUCUAGUAUAGCCGGCCUCUGGGCCGGUGCGUAGAGUUGCUCGGCUCGGGACUCGAGUGUGGACAGAAGAGGCAACCUCUCUCGCCCAUAGUGCACUGCAUGUUCA